UACGUAGGGUGCAAGCGUUAAUCGGAAUUACUGGGCGUAAAGCGUGCGCAGGCGGUUAUGUAAGACAGGUGUGAAAUCCCCGGGCUUAACCUGGGAACUGCAUUUGUGACUGCAUAGCUAGAGUACGGUAGAGGGGGAUGGAAUUCCGCGUGUAGGCAGUGAAAUGCGUAGAUAUGACGGAGGAACACCGAUGGCGAAGGCAAUCCCCUGGACCUGUACUGACGCUCAUGCACGAAAGCGUGGGGAGCAAACAGG
rnacentral:rRNA from 1 species